rnacentral:rRNA from 1 species
UGGGGAAUUUUGCACAAUGGGGGAAACCCUGAUGCAGCGACGCCGCGUGAUUUAGAAGGCCUUCGGGUUGUAAAAAUCUUUUUUACGGGAUGAAAAUGACAGUACCGUAAGAAUAAGGUCCGGCUAAAUACGUGCCAGCAGCCGCGGUAAUACGUAUGGACCGAGCGUUGUCCGGAAUCAUUGGGCGUAAAGGGUACGUAGGCGGCCUAGUAAGUUAGAAGUUUAAGAAUAUAGCUCAACUAUAUAAAGCUUUUAAAACUGCUAGGCUUGAGAGAUGGAAGGGAAAGUGGAAUUCCUAGUGUAGCGGUGAAAUGCGCAGAUAUUAGGAAGAAUACCGGUGGCGAAGGCGACUUUCUGGUCAUCAUCUGACGCUGAGGUACGAAAGCGUGGGUAGCAAACAGG